AAAGAUAAAAAAGAAGAAGAAGGGGCAUUGAUAAAAACAUAGUAGCUAGUAAACCUGAUAAUGAAAAUACUAAUAAAUAAAACUACUAGUAAAUAAAUAUAUUUUUAAGAAAAGAAGCAAUUGAACAAUAAACAACGAAACAUAGUGUCAGAAGUGUAGUCGAAAAUCACCGACAGCUUAAAAAGAAUAAAAAAUAAAAGUUAGACAGAAGCCAUUUUCCCUCCAAUAAAUAUAAUUAAAAACGAGGAGUUAAAAAUAAGAAAAUCGUACGGAUGUAUCAAAAGUGUAGUGAAAAAUGGAAUACUUCAAGUCCCCGGAAGCGUUUAACGUACAGGAGCCACAUGGAUGGUCCAAAUGGAAGCAAAUAUUUGUAAUAUUUUUGUUAGCUUCAGGAAAAAGCACUACUGAGGAAAAUAUAAAAGUAGCUGUUGAAUAUUCUUCUAUAUCUAUAAUACAUUUGAAACAACCAAAACUUAAAAACUAAAUGAAGUGUUAUUUUGUUUUGAUGAUCAUUUCUUACCCAAAGAAAUGACAAACAGCACCAAAACAAGUGGUAAGAACGAGGUAAUUAUUCUAAUUCCAAACAGCCAGAAAACGGGAGGCAGGGAGAAUAUUGGUCAAAUGAACAAGAUGAAGCUGAGGUUAAGAAACUAAAUCAGAAGUACAGGUUUUGGGCAAUGUAAACUCAGAAUUCAGAUAUUAUAAGUAGGGACAAUGCAGAGUAAAAAUGGUUAAAAUUAUGAAGCUGAAGAAAGCCACAGAGUUUAAAAAUAUUAGCAUUCAAAUAACACCAACAUUAUGAAUUAGUGAAAGGUAGUAGGAAGAAGCUUCAGAACAUAUGCGGAGAACCAGAAUAAAACAGGUAAACCUUCCUAUAUUUAGUAUCCUUAUGAUGUGAGUAAAAUGAAGAAAUGUUAGGUUAGUUGUUGUUAGCUAAUAAAAUUGAGAAUUAAAUGAAAAAUAGGCUAUCAAAGAGAAAAUUAAAAUAAUUUAUAAAUAAACAAUUAUAAUUGGAUAUUUAUUGUUCAAUAGUGACAAAAAAAUUGUUAUUGAUUCUGAUAGGGAUGCUAACUUGAAGGUGUAUUGUAAAUCAGUUUCUUUUGUUUAACAAAUUAAUUCCAAACAUUCAUUUAUUGUGAACCUUCAAAUAACUCCUAAUAAAUAAAAUGAAAAAUUGAGGAAUAAAAACAUUUUUUUCUGGAGUUGUAUUAGAUUAACCCAUAUUGUAUUAUUAAUUUAAAUCUGUUUAUAUAACUGAUGGAAAAUAAUCUACAUCCAAUUGAUAUAUGAAAUGAAAAAGGUUCUAUUAGCAGCUGUUUUCAGUAUGGCUGGGGAUUUGGAUACUUUUGCUGGUUUUUACUCUUGUUCUACUGUCUGUUGUUAAGGCAAUCAGGGAAGUGAGUGGCAUAGUGUAUGUAACCAAACUAGCACAUACUUUUUCAUAUUAUUAUAUUUUAAUAAUGUAAUCAAUACUUUUCUGUUAGCUUAUAAUACCUCAAUAUUGCUUCUAGAAAACAUGCUUACAUUUUAUGAAAUAAUGUAAGUAGGUACUGGAAUUGCAAAAAUAAUGAACAUAUUAAUUAAGUGAAUCAUUGCCUUUAAACGGUUAAUGUAACAGUGUUUAUAAAUGUUAUCUCUGCUUCUUGUGAAAAUUGAUAGUUUGAUGAAUUUAAACAGAAGUAAACUUUAUAGUUCAAUAUAAUUAUCAACUUAUUUUCAACUAAUUUUAUAUUAUAUUUAAUGUCCACCAAAAUGGAUAAAUGGGUGAAAUAUAAAAGAACACAAAAGAGAAGGGCAAUAUAAAGAUGGCUAUUUAUUUAUUCAGUAUAGUGAAGACAUAUGACAUUGUUGUAUUCACAAUUCACAAUAGUUAUAUUGUACUCUAUAAUAUUAUUCUUUAGCUUGGUUAAUAAAUUAUAACAUACAUAUAUCACUUACAUUGUCAGUAAGGUGAUUGAUAGUAAUGGUAUAUAGAUCUCAUUAAGCUGAUGUUUUCUUUUCUGUUUUUGUUGAUUUAAAAUUACAUUUGAAAUCUUUCGGAGUAUUGAAUAUUUCUUGUAGAAAAUUGUGGGAAAGGGCGAAAAUUGUAGAAUGAUUUAAUGAAUAUGAGAGAUUUUGGAAUUCCUUAAUAGAUGUGGUAUUAGCUUAAUUUAUCAAUUGUAUUUAUUUAGGCUUUCCUUAUUACAUGUUGUUGUAGCUGAUGUUUAUUGUGUAAAUCUAUUAGGUGACGUAAUAUUUACAAACGUGUGUGUGAUUGGAUUUUGAAAUGGUAUUUUAUUCGUUAUCGACUAAUAUUCUCUCAGUAUUAUCAUAGAGUGGUUCUGAUAGUCAAUUUGAAAAUAUUAGUUAUACACUUUUUCAUUGAAAAAAGCAGUGUCGAAAAAAUGCAGUAGAAUUUUUAAAAAAAGUGUAUUAUUCCAAAAGGAAACAGCAGAAACAAGUGAUGCUAUUACUAUUUAUAGUAAUAAUUAAGUUCGGUGGGUGUACAAGAAGAGAAGUUGCCAAUUCGAGAAACUUAUGAGAAUGGGGACUUGGUUGGAACGCAGUUCAUUAUUAUGAAACCCUAGCAUUAUUGAUACAUGCAAGGCCACAAGAGAAAUAGGGUACGAAAGUUGCCCGAGAAGAAUUGGGGUCGAGUAUCUAUCAACUGAGCUUUGUAUGGUUUAUCUAAUGUUGUGGGAUGAAAGAAAAAUCAGAGCAAUUAUUACGAAACUCUUAAAAUCGAAGAAAAAUAAUACUUUUUCAUAGAAAAUAGAGUAGCAGACCUAUCAGUUAUAUAUAAAACUAAUACUCAUUCUUAUUAUAAUCUUUAUAAAAACAAAAUUAGAAUGUAUGGAAAGUUCUUACACUGGCUUACCUGCAAUCAUUUAAACUGUUCUUAUAAUAAUCUUAGAAUUACCGAUGAAUGGCGCUAUCUAGAAGUGAAGCUAAUAUUACUAACAAUGGAAACGUAUCAUUAAAUGAACUAGGUAAAAAUCUAACAAUUAACAACACUACUGGUUCAAAACGAAUCCCCGUUGGAUGCGGGAAAUCCAACAUCAGGGUCGUUGGUCUGUAAAUGAGUGGCGUGGGUUUCUAGGCGGACAAAUAAUUGGGCCAGUUUUUUGAAUGAGAUAGUUAAUUAAGAAAAAUAUUUAUACUUGUGAAAAAACGAAUUGUGUCUUUUCUUUUAGAAAAUAUGCCCUUACUUAGUCAUUUGUAGUGACAUGUUCUUACAAUCUGAUGAUUGCCCGGCAUAUUAUUCCAUAUAAGUUGUGCAUUUUUUAGAUCAAACGUAUCCUGAUAGGUGGAUAGGACAAGUUUAUUUAUUUGGCCAUCCAGAUCUUCAGACCUAACUUGCCUAGAUUUUUUUUUGUGGUGCCAAAACCGAGCAUUUGUGAUCAUCUUGUCUCUUGUAAAGAUGUGAGUUUUUAUUUUCAUGUUAUGUUUGGUUUCUAUAUGAAAAGCUUGAGAGAUGAGUGUGAAGAAAUUUGAAGUUUUUCCCAAAAACAAGCUUGAAGCAUGGUUGAAUGAUAAUUGAUUCUAUUUUUAGAAUUAAUGUAUAAAUCAGAAUGUUUAGUAUUUUCCUUCAAAUUCUGCUUUUUUUUCUGCCAUCUCGUUUGAUUUUAGAUAACUUCGUCUGAACACCUCAUGCUCAAAGAUCCAUAAUUUUUUUUUUUUUUAUUAAUAAAAUGAUUUAUAAACUCAGCUUCAUAGCGGAGAUACUCUUCUUUUAUUUCAUGAGCCAGGUCUCUCAAUAUAUUUUGAAAUAAAUAACUUCUAUAUAUUACUUAAUCCUUUGGUGUUAUCAGCAUUACUUUUACAUUUUUCUGAUGUACCAAUAUUAAAUAAUUUAAGUCUGUUAAACGAUAUCGAUAGUGCAUCUGCAAGAAAAAGUUUUAUUACCCAAUUUUUAAUUCAAUAAAGAUAUCAUGAUAUCGUACUGUUCCAAAUUUAACCUAAUAUUUGAAGUUUUAGAUGGGUUUAUUCUUAUGAUUCUUAGAAAAAUUGUUACAGUCUUUUCAUUACUUUCAAAAAUCACAGUUCCACUAAAAAUAUAUUUAUGAAAGUGCUCACAUCUUUGUGAAAUAGGAAGUAGCUUCGUCUGCAUUUGACAUAAAAAUAGUUCCUUUGGUAAUAUUUGACUUCAAAUAGGCAUCAAAUAAAAAAAAUUAAAUGUUCUUACUAAUAAUACAAAUUAACUCGUUUUAUUAUCGUAACAAUGAUGGCGUAUUAACUAUUAUCUAAUUUAUCACUUAAUUUUCAAUAAUGGGUAAUUUCUAUAAUAAUAUUUCUCAUAUGAUUAGACAUUAGCUGAAUCAAGUUCGAUAUGGUUUCUUUUGUGAUGUUGAGCCAAUUUUCUUCUAGUGCGCUCUGAUGUCGAGAGAUGGUUUCUUUCGAUUAAUUUCCUUCCAGACUCCAAAAUACAAGAACAAUGAAUAGGAGUUGACCGGCUGACUUAAGAAAUGGUUAAAAUGGACUGGAGAAGUCAUUAAAACGAUAGAUAGGAGCAAAAAAUGGAUUCACUAUGUAAAAAUCAAGUUCAUUUCCUCCAAGAACUCCAUAUCACAAGGAAACCGAAAAAGAAUUGACAGGUUGGCUUAAGAAAUGGUUAAAAUGGAUUAGAAAAGUCCUUAUCACGAUAGAUGAGAGCAAAAAAUGGAUUCACUAUGUUAAUUUGGUGAUAACCUUUGUACCGUUUGAAGGUGUUUUGGAGGUUAGCAUAUUUCCUGUGAUCUCAUAUUUUUAUUCUUAGUUCUUUCAUUAGCUCAAUUCACCAUAGUUUUUUCUCAGUUUUCAAUGGUGUAGUGUACAUGUCUUGAUUCUUAUAAUAUAUACAUAUCAAUUCAGCUGUAUCUUGUCUCAAUUUUUAUUGAUUUUUGUUUUAAUUAUUUUUCAAUUUCUAUAUUCUUUGUUUUAUCCUAAUUAAUUUUCUUUCGAAUGUUUAAUUAUCAUUGGGUUAAGAUAUGUUUUCUCUUUAUUGUCAUAUAUUCUGCUGUGUAGGUUAGAGUUGGUACUGUUGUAAAUUUAUUUGUUAUUUUAUCUGGUUUUCUGUCUUAUGUUGGUACCAUACUAAGGUAUCCUUAUGUCGUUAUUCUCCCUGAAGUUUUAGCUUCAGAUUUGAUUUCUUUUGAUUUACAUUUAUUAUUUCAACUUUAGUUUUGUCAUUUUUCUUAUUUCUAAGAAUCAGACAUCCAUUAAUUUUUGGAUUAUAUUUUUAAAAUUUACUAUAACAUUAUAUCGUCUGCAAAUAUCAGCAUUUUUAUAGGUUAUGUUUUUAUAUUCAAUUCUAUUCAGAUAUUCACAUUUUUUUAAUAUAUUUGAAUCUAUCUUUCCUAGGAGUGACCAUCCCAAAUGAUCUUGCGGGCCACGUAUUUUUUUAAAGAAAAUAGAAAAAAAAGCCAAUCUGUAUACAAAUAAUACAAUAAGUUAUUGUGUUGAUAUUUCGGCGAACCACACAUAAAAUUAUAUUAGUAUUAAUAUAAAUAAAUACCAAAAACUUGGGAGUUAACAUUUUAAACAGAAUUAAUUAUUAUUAUAAAAUAACUUGUAGUAUUUAAUAAUUUCCCUAUUAAGUCAUUUAGUGAGAUAUUUGUUUCUCGAAUUUUCACUAAGCUUUUGUAAAUCAGCAGAAAUGCUUGUAUUUUCAGAUUACUCAAAAGUGAAAACAAUACUAUUUGCUCGUAUAUGUUUUUUUCAGAUUAAAUUAUUAUUUUUACUUUUGUUGCGAUUCCGCGUUUUCAGGCAUUCCAGAAUAGACUAUUGGUACAAUAAUAAUUUUUUUUAAAUGUUUGAUAAAUUUUUAAGCCGCCAAACUCUCCCAGGCAGGCCGCGCGUUCGCCAUCCCUAGCCAAAGAACACCUCUGAGAUGAAGAGGAGGCGCUCCAUUAUGUUAAAAACAAAGAAAUCUAAACAAAAUGAGUAUUUACAUAUUGUAGUCCAUGAGUUCUUAGCCUAACAUAGAAAAGAAUAAUUUAAUAAAAUAAAACCAAUAUUAUAUCAUUAUAAAACCAGUAUAAACAAAGUGACCCAUUUUAUUUUCUGAGCAUGUUGAUACCAACGCAACGGUUGUAAUAAAAACAUUUUCCUACUUUUCUCACAUCAAUGGUCAAUAUAUAUUUGCCUUUAUCUGGCAAUAAAAAAAUAAUUGAAAAUUGUCAAAUAUUGUAGGGGAUAUCUCGUUUAAAAUAUACAAUUUUGUUAUGUUCUUUGGAACUACAUUUGGCAUUUGCUGGUCUGUCGACGAUAUUAUAUAACCAAAAUGCUGCUACUCUAUUUCACAGGUUAACAUAUUUACGUGUGUACUCUGUAUUUAACUAUUGUAUAUUGUAGAAAGUGAAGGUAAAGAAAUAUGUGAUUACUAUAUACAUUUUUCUUCCCAUACAAACUUAGAGGUAUUUGUUUAAUGAACAGGAUAAAAUUUUUAAAUAAAUAUUUUUUUAAACACA